rnacentral:rRNA from 1 species
UACGUAGGUGGCGAGCGUUAUCCGGAAUUACUGGGUGUAAAGGGUGUGUAGGCGGGGAAGCAAGUCAGAUGUGAAAUACCAAGGCUUAACCAUGGGGCUGCAUUUGAAACUGCUUUUCUUGAGAGUGGGAGAGGUAAGCGGAAUUCACGGUGUAGCGGUGAAAUGCGUAGAUAUCGGGAGGAACACCAGUGGCGAAGGCGGCUUACUGGACCAUUACUGACGCUGAGACACGAAAGCGUGGGGAGCAAAC